rnacentral:rRNA from 1 species
UACGAAGGGGGCUAGCGUUGCUCGGAAUUACUGGGCGUAAAGGGCGCGUAGGCGGAUAUCUAAGUUGGGGGUGAAAUCCCGGGGCUCAACCUCGGAAUUGCCUUCAAAACUGGAUAUCUUGAGUUCGGGAGAGGUGAGUGGAACUCCGAGUGUAGAGGUGAAAUUCGUAGAUAUUCGGAGGAACACCAGUGGCGAAGGCGGCUCACUGGCUCGAUACUGACGCUGAGGUGCGAAAGCGUGGGGAGCAAACAGG